UACGGGGGGAGCAAGCGUUGUUCGGAUUUACUGGGCGUAAAGGGCGCGUAGGCGGUCAGCACAAGUCAGUUGUGAAAUCUCCGGGCUUAACUCGGAAAGGUCAACUGAUACUGUGCGACUAGAGUGCAGAAGGGGCAACUGGAAUUCUCGGUGUAGCGGUGAAAUGCGUAGAUAUCGUUUGGAACGCCAAUGGUGAAAACAGGUCGCUGGGGAUGCGCUGACGCUGAGACACGAAGCCAGGGGAGCAAACGGG
rnacentral:rRNA from 1 species